CAGAGGGCAGAUGUCACACAGACAAGAGAACAUAUGCCCGUGUCAGCACAGAACCCUACCCACAGCCACGCACGACCUCACAAUGGCAUCACUGAAGAGGCCUUGCUGCCCUGGAGAUCUGCAGUGAGGUACAACUGGCAAGCUCCUAGGUCUGCUCUGGGCUGGUAAUAGAACCAAACUAGGCCAGAAGGCCCACAUGCUCCCCAUGAACUGUGGGCCACUGCAGGGGACAAGGGCAGCGUCUAACAUGAGGGGGUAGAGCUGAUAGAACCACCAAAAGGAGGUUAAGCCACCAAAACCCACUCUAAUGCCUGGAUAGGACCAUGUCUCUGGCCCUAUCUGCUGCUUUCUGGGGUCAAAGCCCAUGCUUUCUCCGGCUGGGAAACGCAGCUUGCUGGGGUACGCGAUGAGUGGAAGUAUAAUGCUGGACACUCAACCCGGUCUUCCAAGUAAUUCCAUGUCACCACCAGGAGCGUCUUGGCUUGCACCCUUUCCUCUCACUCAGUGGACCGCUUCUCUUUUCCCAUAGGCAUGUGCACCACGCAUCAAUACACAUUCGUUAGCAAGUGAUGUGGACAGUUAUCACAGGACAGGUAUUAAAGAGAACGCCAGGGUUAUAUGGCAUUUUUGUUUGUUUGUUUUGAGGUGCCUUACCCCAUAACCCUGUGGGGUUUGCUGUUCACUGGAUGCCCAGGCUGGGCUAGUCUUAAACUCCUGGCAAUCCUCCUGCCUUAGCCUUCUAAGCACCGCAUUUCCAGGCAUGCACCUCCACACUCAGCUUCUGGGUAUUUGAGCUUGUAUUAGGUACCUUUUAUCUUGGAUCACAGGGAUACUUUGAAAAUAUUUAAUUAGCUCUCAAAACGUGUCUGCAAGGAAGACACUAGUGUUUGCAUCCAUAAAAUAUGAACGAAAACAAAAAGGUAAAAAGGCUUUCCCUCAGUGCCUCAGAAAUGAGUCAUUAGCAGUGUGGCAGCCACAGGUCCCUAACCCAUCCCGCUUCUCCUCGGCCUGCAAGCACACCCUGUCCCAAACAGCCCCCACCAAGUCCACAUGGCUUCUGCUGAUAGGGCUCCAGAGCACUGUGGCAUGCUAAAUUUGUAUGGAGAAAGAGAAAUUUGAAACAUGAAGUAUAGCUAAGCUCAAGGUUAUGAUAAACUGUAAAGGUCAUUUGAUGCUCUUCUCAGUCUAGUCUCGAACUGUAGCACUCUCUUUGGCUAUAUUAGUUGUAUUUGGUGGCAGUUAGAGAGAGCUGCCAGCAACCCAAGGGAUGCCUGUGAUGCCACCAGCACUGGGGUUGUGCUGCUAUGAUGAGCACUCUACAGAAUAAGACUCUGCCUUAAAAACUAAGCAAAACUGGCCUGGGUGGGCUAAGCCCACCAGAGACGACCCCACCUAGCAUCACACUGAAGAUACCCAGAGGCCCUUGUGCCACUAAGGUCGUGUUCCUUUCAACUUGCACUAGGCUUGCAACAGCAAUGAUACCUCCCUCUGACUUCUGAGACAUAGAACUGCUCUUCAGACAAGUAAAGCCUGCCAGCUGCUAAGUCCUACAGGAAUGAGAAUUUCAGAGGACACGUGGCUGUCUGAAGCCCUUGCUCAGACUCAGAGCAUUCCCCACGCUGGAUCACAGAUUUUCACUGAAGACACAAUCCCAUUCAAGUCUUAGGCUGAAACUCCAACCCACACCUACAACGUCUCUUCUGUUUCCUCUCUGCAUGUUUCAUGAUAAGAUCUCCAUCGCGUAGAGGGUCCUCUCCAGUAAAAGUAAAAGGAGAAGCAAGAGACGCCCCUUAGGACCUGCCUGGCCCACUGACAAACUAGCAAGUCAAGGACAGCUCUCUGUAUUUUCCACAGAUGUUAAAAGUGCUUUGAAAUAUGAAGAGUUGGUGGAUCUUUGUACUAAUGGGAACCCAAUCCCUCUACUCAGCUAGCCCAACCCACAUCACUCCAGCAGUCUUUCUUUUCCAGGUUUCAAUUAUCUGUCCUCACCCACGUUCUGAAAAUGUUACGUGGAAAGUUCCAUACAUAAGGUUCACCUAGAGCAUCAGACUUUAAUUAGAUGGCAAGAUGUCACAACUAGCCACGAGAGCCUGUUAUAGCCCUUCAAGUUAUCACAGACCCGUGGCCGGAACUUCAAGCCUGCCUUCAUCAGCGAGACUGUCCACUGAGGUGGUUUCCAAACCAACCUUGCAAAUUGUAAGGUGUGUGGAACCUGUGUGUGUGUGAAGGUACCAUGACAUUCACCACUUCAAGACGAGUAUUAUUCUGCCAUAUCCUUUAUUAUCUACACCGUGGCUUCCUCCUGAACUUUGGCAGAUAAUUGCCUAGCUGCCAGUAACAAGCAGCCAGAAGAAAUGCUUACCCACCAUCCAACACGGCUGAACUCACCGUUCCCUAGUUAUCCUUGGCAACAGCCAACUGCACAACAAAAGAACCCUUCCCAUCUCCUUCUACUUGUCCUGCAGUAGCGAAGAGACUAUGAAUUUUAAAGAGAACAAUGAGGGGUAUAUGAGAGGAUUUGAAAGAAGGAAAGGGAAGAAAAGAAUGAUGUAAUUAUGUUACA
rnacentral:lncRNA from 1 species